GUAAUUUUUGUACAAGUAGCUAAUAUUCAGUCUUUACCAUCUAAUGAUCGACAGAAAGAUGGAAGAUAAAACAGAGGUUUAAACAACAGGGAUCUUACAUUUGAACACUUCAUAUAGAUCAACAAAAUAGCAGAGUGAUAAGUUGUUACCAGCCGUGAAAAGCGAUAAAAUUUGUGUGCUGCCUUAGUCAUAAUCUUUCUUCAUAUUCUUACCUAGUAGAGGAUUAACCCCCAUUUGUCCUCCAAAGUUGCACUUUAAUACCAGCAGCUGCAUGCUCUAGAGAGGCCGUUCCAAGAAGAACUACUUCUCAAAGAGCUGCACAACAUCUCUUUGAAAAUUAAUAUGGAGUACGGAGUAUGAUUUGGACCGCCUUCCCCGGAUCUGAGCAAGUUCUAGUAAUCGUCAUGCAAAUUACCAUACCUCAAGAGCUUUGUUGCAUUCCUACAGAAACACUUCGAGAACGUCUUUUCUUUGACAUGCCCUUAGAGAAUGGCAGGGGCAAGGAAGCCUGUCGUACAGCCUUCUCAGGUUCACCAAGCUGCCGAAUCUCUUGAAGUUGGUGCGCUAUAUCCUCCAAAAGCUUUAACUGCAUCUUUUCUCUUUCUCUAUGCUCUGCAGUCAAGUCAAGUUUCUCUCUUCCCUCUUGCACAAUCUUUAACCUCUCUCGAAGCCGCUCCACUUCCAUUUCAAUUUUCAGCCUUUCAUUGUCUACUGAGCAUACGGAAUUUCCCCGAGAAUCACGCAGCAAAGGUUUACCACGUGAGCCCACUGGUGGAAGCCCACCAGUAGUGUCUGAACUGAUUUUAAGAUCCACUUGAGUAUACAACGUGCUAGUACUUGGACGAUCUCUAAUAACAUCUUGUGUAGGAGAAGCUUCAACAGGGUGACUAGUUUUCCCACAAAAUUCUAAUGCACUUUUCCUAGAUUCACCAUUACUGACAUCAUUGCAAAAGUUGGACCCGUCGACAAUGACAUGAACAUCGUGAACACGAGGUUCUUUGACUGAGGUCAAAUUACAUGGACAUUUUGAUCCCUGAUAUCCAACUGUCUCAUGAUACAUCAAACACUUGUCUUUUCUAGAAACAUCAAUACAAGCUCUGUCACUUGUUUCCAUAUCUGGAUUUUCUUUUAGCACUUCACCUUCUAGGGGAAUGGCCUGAUCAGGAAGUUUCUGUUCCGAAAGACCUGUCUCACAGGGUUUCAAGGAUGUGUCCAGUAUUUUCCCAUUCCCUGGUGCCACAUCGGAGUGGUUAACCAUAAAAACCAUCUCUUUUUCCUGAUAUUCUUGACUGCAAGAAUGCUCUGUUAAGUCAACUUGCUUCUGGGAGUUGACAUCUUUGUUCUGUCUUUGAAUCGGUGCCUCUCCCGCUAAAGCAAUAUAGUUUUGUUUAUCAAGAGAACUGACCUCCUCGGAGUUCUUAUUUUCCGCAACAGUCCUCUUGUUGAAAGAAGCACUAAU
rnacentral:misc_RNA from 1 species